rnacentral:rRNA from 1 species
GACGAACGCUGGCGGCGUGCUUAACACAUGCAAGUCGAACGGAAAGGCCCUGCUUGCAGGGUACUCGAGUGGCGAACGGGUGAGUAACACGUGGGUGAUCUGCCCUGCACUUCGGGAUAAGCCUGGGAAACUGGGUCUAAUACCGGAUAGGAGCCAUUUUUAGUGUGAUGGUUGGAAAGUUUUUUCGGUGUAGGAUGAGCUCGCGGCCUAUCAGCUUGUUGGUGGGGUAAUGGCCUACCAAGGCGGCGACGGGUAGCCGGCCUGAGAGGGUGGACGGCCACAGUGGGACUGAGAUACGGCCCAGACUCCUACGGGAGGCAGCAGGGGGGAAUAUUGCACAAGGGGCGCAAGCCUGAUGCAGCGACGCCGCGUGGGGGAUGACGGCCUUCGGGUUGUAAACUCCUUUCGCUAGGGACGAAGCUUUUUGUGACGGUACCUAGAGAAGAAGCACCGGCUAACUACGUG